rnacentral:rRNA from 1 species
UACAGAGGUCUCAAGCGUUUGUUCGGAUUCAUUGGGCGUAAAGGGUGCGUAGGUGGCAGGGUAAGUCGGAUGUGAAAUCCCGGGGCUCAACCUCGGAACUGCAUUCGAUACUGCUUUGCUGGAGUACUGGAGAGGAGAUUGGAAUUUACGGUGUAGCAGUGAAAUGCGUAGAUAAUCGUAAGGAAGACCAGUGGCGAAGGCGGAUCUCUGGACAGUUACUGACACUGAGGCACGAAGGCCAGGGGAGCAAACGGG